rnacentral:lncRNA from 1 species
CUCUGAUUGUGCAGCCAGACCAUUCAUGACCGACCAACACAAUUCCCUGGAUUUGUGCGUUGCUGCACCAUUACAACAUUUGUUCAUUUUGCAUGAAAUCUGAUGACAAGCUGGAAGCUGCUGCGAUGGACUUUACAGAGCAAGAGAAGAUUUGGCUGGAAAACAUUUCCUCUGAGAUGCCUGAAGGCCCCGGGCUCAGUGACCAGGAGAAAUGCCUUCGCCGACUCGGAGAGCCGCAGAGCGUGGUGGAGUCACUUUACUUCCAGCUGACCGCCUCCAUCCGCUUCGGGCUUGCUGGCCGGAAGAACUCUGAGUCCGUGCCUAAGAAGUCAGUGCAGAUGAGGGUUCCAGAGGGGAAGUGAAGUUAUUGUCAUUGUGAAACGCUGCAGCACAGCACACAGUGACACGGUGAAAUGUGUCCUCUGUAACUAACCAUCACCCUUGGUGAGCAGCGGGCAGCCAUGACAGGCGCCCAGGGGGGCAGCGUGUGGGGACGGUGCUUUGCUCAGUGGCACCUUCUGAUUACCCGGUCCUCCACCACCGUUCAAAAACACACGCCCAACGUGGGGCAGCGGACUGGACUGCUGUCGUUGCAGAUGUGCGCUGGAGGAGCUGCUGCUACAUGCACCUCCCACCACUUGAUUAUUUCUCUCAGUGGUGGCCUAGCGGGCAAGGAAGCACACUCGUAACUUUACUUUACUUUACUUUUACUUUAUUUAGCAGACGCUUUUAUCCAAAGCGACUUACAAGAGGAAGACACCAGCAAUUCUCGUUCGAUUCUUAUAGAAUAUUGACAAUAUUGAAUAUUACAAACUAAGAGCCCUGAUAAGGCUCAACUUGUCAGCUAAGAGCGUGCUCAGAGAUUGUUAAGUGCUAGACGAAGCAAAAAAAUUAUAAUAUAUAUAUGCUUUUUUGUAUUGUUUUGUCCAAUGUGUACGCAUGUGCACAUAUGUAGGUGGUAGUAGCCUAGUGGGUAAGACACUCGCCUGUGAACCAGAAGACCCGGGUUCAAAUCCCAUUUACUACCAUUGUGUCCCUGAGCAAGACACUUAACCUUAAGUUGCUCCAGGGAGACUGUCCCUGUAACUACUGACUGUAAGUCGCUCUGGAUAAGGGCGUCUGAUAAAUGCUGUAAAUGUAAAAUGUAAAUGUGCGUGUGUAAGUGUUAAGUGUAACCCUUUCAUCCAUAUCAUCCAUAAUGGGGGCAGGAAACUAUAGACUAUAAAGGGAUUUUCUCUCAGGGGGAAGAAUUGUAGAACUUUUCCUCACAGGCGUCAGACUACAACCUCUGCACCUCAUUUUAACACCUCAUCUAAAGCACAGUCAGCAUGUGCCCAUCAUGCAAUGGGACUGGGGCACCCA